rnacentral:tRNA from 1 species
GGGAGUGUGGCUCAGUGGUAGAGUGCUUGCCUAGCACGCAUGAAACCCUGGGUUCGAUUCCUCAGUACCA